AUUCUAAUUCUAUUCCAGUUGUUUUUAGCAUAGCAUCCGAAGAUAACCCCCGAACAGUCUAAUAAUGGGCUGGGUCGAAGGAAUAAAUAUUUUUGCAAAUCAAACGAAAAUGUACGAAAGUAUCUGCAAGCAAAAGACUGCUGAAAAAUUUUUUCCUUGGUGGAAGAACAGUUUCGUGCAAACAUUAAAUUAAGUAAAGUGUUUAUAUGGGAAAACUCCCUUACUAUGUUAUAUUAAAGUGUGUUUCGUCCGGGAAAAACAUUUGUGAAAUUAUUAUAUACUAAGUUAGAGCUAAUACAAUCUAAACUUAUUGCCAUAAAUCGAAAUGAGUCUAAAAAAUGUA